rnacentral:rRNA from 1 species
GACGAACGCUGGCGGCGUGCUUAACACAUGCAAGUCGAACGAAGUGGCGAACGGGUGAGUAACGCGUAAUCAACCUGCCCUUCAGAGGGGGACAACAGUUGGAAACGACUGCUAAUACCGCAUACUGAAGGAGGGGAUUGCGUCUGAUUAGCUCGUUGGCGGGGUAACGGCCCACCAAGGCGAUGAUCAGUAGCCGGUCUGAGAGGAUGAUCGGCCACACUGGAACGUAGACACGGUCCAGACUCCUACGGGAGGCAGCAGUAGGGAAUCUUCCGCAAUGGGAGAAAGCCUGACGGAGCAACGCCGCGUGAGUGAUGAAGGUCUUCGGAUCGUAAAACUCUGUUAUUAGGGAAGCGGUAUCUAACCAGAAAGCCACGGCUAACUACGUGCCAGCAGCCGCGGUAAUAC